GGUGCCAUGGUAGAGUGGUCAUACAGCGGUCUGCAACACCGUAUACACCGGUUCAAACCCGGUUGGCACCUCCA
rnacentral:tRNA from 1 species